GACGAACGCUGGCGGCGUGCUUAACACAUGCAAGUCGAACGGAAAGGCCCUGCUUUUGUGGGGUGCUCGAGUGGCGAACGGGUGAGUAACACGUGAGUAACCUGCCCUUUACUUUGGGAUAACUUCAGGAAACUGGGGCUAAUACCUGAUAGGAGCUCCUGCUGCAUGGUGGGGGUUGGAAAGUUUCGGCGGUUGGGGAUGGACUCGCGGCUUAUCAGCUUGUUGGUGGGGUAGUGGCUUACCAAGGCUUUGACGGGUAGCCGGCCUGAGAGGGUGACCGGCCACAUUGGGACUGAGAUACGGACCAGACUCCUACGGGAGGCAGCAGUGGGGAAUAUUGCACAAUGGGCGGAAGCCUGAUGCAGCAACGCCGCGUGCGGGAUGACGGCCUUCGGGUUGUAAACCGCUUUCGCCUGUGACGAAGCGUGAGUGACGGUAAUGGGUAAAGAAGCACCGGCUAACUACGUG
rnacentral:rRNA from 1 species